UGAAUUUGGCGCAUUUUCUUGAGUUUAGAGGGUGUAAUGUUCGAGAUUUCUCACCUGUCAACAACGUCUUACACAGCCAACCCCCCUAAAAGACAUAGUAGAAUAAAGCAACGAUGCCAUAAACAGGAAGAAAUCAUUUGAACAUCGGUAAAAGUUACAGCUUUUCAUGUUUUGAGGGAGGCGCAGCAGAUCACACAUGUGCUACACAACUUCGGACCGUACGAAGUCGCGAAGAUGAGGACGUGCAGAGUCCAAUACUGAAAAAAUGUGACCAUUACAUACCCACUGGAAGUGAGCAGGAGGAAACUGGCAUCAGUGUUAUCAAAUGAUAAACUAACAUGAGUGAUGCUUCUGAGGAGGUGCAUUGCUCUUUGAUGUGAGGAAGGAAGGUUGAGAGAGCUUUCUCCAGCACAUGCCACCCUCAUUAGUGUCCAGCAGCUGAAGACGCAGGGUCACAAACCCAAUGAGUUGCUCAUUUCAUUCAGCUUUGCCGACAUGGAAAGAUGACCACUGUGACCUAAUGUUGCGGUGCGGUCUGACAGCACAUUGUGCACAACAUACAAAGUAGCUUGAUUAACCCUUGAACCUUGUGUGGAGUGCAUUAUUUUUUAUGAAAUUGCUAUAGGGUCCAACUUUUCAACAAGCUUGUAGAUUUUAUUCAUUCAAUAAAUUGUGCAUUUUUCUAAAAA